CAAGAUGUAGCUUAAUAAAAGCCCCCCCCCCCACCCCCCACCCCCCCACAAAACAUUUUAUCU
rnacentral:tRNA from 1 species